GGCUCAGAAGCAGCCACCAUUCAAAGAGUGCGUAAUAGCUCACUGGUCGAGAGGCUCUGCGCCGAAAAUAUCCGGGGCUCAAGUACAGAACCGAAGUCGCGUCAGCAGCGAAAGCUGCUGGGUAGGGGAGCGUUCCAUGGGCGUAGAAGGCUGACCGGAAGGACAGCUGGAGCGCAUGGAAGUGAGAAUGCUGGUAUGAGUAGCGAAAAGAUACGUGAGAAUCGUAUCCACCGAAAGCCUAAGGGAUCCUGGGCAACGCUCGUCGCCCCAGGGUAAGUCGGGACCUAAGCCGAGGCAGCAAGCAUAGGCGAUGGACAACAGGCAAAAAUUCCUGUACUGCAUGAAGUUGCUUGAGGAUGGAGUGACACAGCAAGGAGCUUGAGCGUGCGACUGGAAAAGCACGUCGAAGGCGGUAGGCUGGUGUGGAGGCAAAUCCCCAUACCAAGGCCGAGAACUGACAGAUAGACAAUCCCUUCGGGGAACGUCGAAUUCAAGCGUACUACACUGUCGAGAAAAGCUUCUAACGAGACGACAUGCACCCGUACCAAAACCGACACAGGUAGGCGGGGAGAGAAUCCUAAGGUGCGCGGGAAAACCCUCGUUAAGGAACUCGGCAAAAUGCAUCCGUAACUUCGGGAGAAGGAUGGCCGGAGCUGGUGAAGCCCCCUGCGGGAAAAGCUGGAGCCGGCGGCAGAAGAGAAGCCCAAGCGACUGUUUACCACAAACACAGGUGCCUGCUAAAGAGAAAUCUGACGUAUAGGUGCUGACACCUGCCCGGUGCUGGAAGGUUAAGGAGAGGAGUCAGGAGCAAUCCGAAGCCCCGAACUGAAGCCCCAGUAAACGGCGGCCGUAACUAUAACGGUCCUAAGGUAGCGAAAUUCCUUGUCGGGUAAGUUCCGACCCGCACGAAAGGUGUAACGACUUGGGCACUGUCUCAACGAGGGACCCGGUGAAAUUGAAAUACCUGUGAAGAUGCAGGUUACCCGCGACUGGACAGAAAGACCCCAUGGAGCUUUACUGCAGCCUGGCAUUGAUUCUUGGCAUGUAACGUACAGGAUAGUUGGGAGACGGAGAAGUGCGGCCGCAAGACCGCACAGAGUCGUUGUUGGGAUACCAACCUUUGCGUGCUAGGGAUCUAACCCUGAGAGUUACAGACUCGGGGACAGUGCCAGGCAGGCAGUUUGACUGGGGCGGUCGCCUCCGAAAGAGUAACGGAGGCGUCCAAAGGUUCCCUCAGCGCGGACAGAAAUCGCGCGAAGAGUAUAAAGGCAGAAGGGAGCUUGACUGCGAGACAUACAGGUCGAGCAGGUACGAAAGUAGGGCUUAGUGAUCCGGUGGAAUGAGAGUGGAAUUGCCAUCGCUCAACGGAUAAAAGCUACCCUGGGGAUAACAGGCUAAUCUCUCCCAAGAGUCCAUAUCGACGGGGAGGUUUGGCACCUCGAUGUCGGCUCAUCACAUCCUGGGGCUGAAGCAGGUCCCAAGGGUUGGGCUGUUCGCCCAUUAAAGUGGUACGUGAGCUGGGUUCAGAACGUCGUGAGACAGUUCGGUCCAUAUCCAUCGCGGGCGGAAGAUACAUGAGGGAGGCUGCUCCUAGUACGAGAGGACCGGAGUGGACGGACCGCCGGUGAACCGGUUGUCGCGCCAGCGGCACAGCCGGGUAGCUGCGUCCGGAAGGGAUAAACGCUGAAAGCAUCUAAGCGUGAAGCCCGUCCCGAGAUGAAGUAUCUCAUAGAGUAAUCUAGUAAGACCCCUUGA
rnacentral:rRNA from 1 species